CGGCGGACGGGUGAGUAACGCGUGGGUAACCUGCCUCAUACAGGGGGAUAACAGUUGGAAACGGCUGCUAAUACCGCAUAAGCGCACAGUACCGCAUGGUACCGUGUGAAAAACUCCGGUGGUAUGAGAUGGACCCGCGUCUGAUUAGCUAGUUGGUGGGGUAACGGCCUACCAAGGCGACGAUCAAUAGCCGACCUGAGAGGGUGAUCGGCCACAUUGGAACUGAGACACGGUCCAA
rnacentral:rRNA from 1 species